rnacentral:rRNA from 1 species
AUGCUGGAGGUAUCAGAAGUGCGAAUGCUGACAUAAGUAACGAUAAAGCGGGUGAAAAGCCCGCUCGCCGGAAGACCAAGGGUUCCUGUCCAACGUUAAUCGGGGCAGGGUGAGUCGACCCCUAAGGCGAGGCCGAAAGGCGUAGUCGAUGGGAAACAGGUUAAUAUUCCUGUACUUGGUGUUACUGCGAAGGGGGGACGGAGAAGGCUAUGUUGGCCGGGCGACGGUUGUCCCGGUUUAAGCGUGUAGGCUGGUUUUCCAGGCAAAUCCGGAAAAUCAAGGCUGAGGCGUGAUGACGAGGCACUACGGUGCUGAAGCAACAAAUGCCCUGCUUCCAGGAAAAGCCUCUAAGCAUCAGGUAACAUCAAAUCGUACCCCAAACCGACACAGGUGGUCAGGUAGAGAAUACCAAGGCGCUUGAGAGAACUCGGGUGAAGGAACUAGGCAAAAUGGUGCCGUAACUUCGGGAGAAGGCACGCUGAUAUGUAGGUGAAGUCCCUCGCGGAUGGAGCUGAAAUCAGUCGAAGAUACCAGCUGGCUGCAACUGUUUAUUAAAAACACAGCACUGUGCAAACACGAAAGUGGACGUAUACGGUGUGACGCCUGCCCGGUGCCGGAAGGUUAAUUGAUGGGGUCAGCGCAAGCGAAGCUCUUGAUCGAAGCCCCGGUAAACGGCGGCCGUAACUAUAACGGUCCUAAGGUAGCGAAAUUCCUUGUCGGGUAAGUUCCGACCUGCACGAAUGGCGUAAUGAUGGCCAGGCUGUCUCCACCCGAGACUCAGUGAAAUUGAACUCGCUGUGAAGAUGCAGUGUACCCGCGGCAAGACGGAAAGACCCCGUGAACCUUUACUAUAGCUUGACACUGAACAUUGAGCCUUGAUGUGUAGGAUAGGUGGGAGGCUUUGAAGUGUGGACGCCAGUCUGCAUGGAGCCGACCUUGAAAUACCACCCUUUAAUGUUUGAUGUUCUAACGUGGACCCGUGAUCCGGGUUGCGGACAGUGUCUGGUGGGUAGUUUGACUGGGGCGGUCUCCUCCUAAAGAGUAACGGAGGAGCACGAAGGUUGGCUAAUCCUGGUCGGACAUCAGGAGGUUAGUGCAAUGGCAUAAGCCAGCUUGACUGCGAGCGUGACGGCGCGAGCAGGUGCGAAAGCAGGUCAUAGUGAUCCGGUGGUUCUGAAUGGAAGGGCCAUCGCUCAACGGAUAAAAGGUACUCCGGGGAUAACAGGCUGAUACCGCCCAAGAGUUCAUAUCGACGGCGGUGUUUGGCACCUCGAUGUCGGCUCAUCACAUCCUGGGGCUGAAGUAGGUCCCAAGGGUAUGGCUGUUCGCCAUUUAAAGUGGUACGCGAGCUGGGUUUAGAACGUCGUGAGACAGUUCGGUCCCUAUCUGCCGUGGGCGCUGGAGAACUGAGGGGGGCUGCUCCUAGUACGAGAGGACCGGAGUGGACGCAUCACUGGUGUUCGGGUUGUCAUGCCAAUGGCACUGCCCGGUAGCUAAAUGCGGAAGAGAUAAGUGCUGAAAGCAUCUAAGCACGAAACUUGCCCCGAGAUGAGUUCUCCCUGACUCCUUGA